UACGAAGGGGGCGAGCGUUGCUCGGAAUCACUGGGCGUAAAGGGUGCGUAGGAGGGCAGGUAAGUCAGUGGUGAAAUCUCCAAGCUUAACUUGGAAACUGCCGUUGAUACUAUCUGUCUUGAAUAUUGUGGAGGUGAGCGGAAUAUGUCAUGUAGCGGUGAAAUGCUUAGAUAUGACAUAGAACACCAAUUGCGAAGGCAGCUCACUACUCAAUCAUUGACUCUGAGGCACGAAAGCGUGGGGUUCAAACAGG
rnacentral:rRNA from 1 species